CGGGAGUAGAACCCAGGACUCCCGACUCUCGGGCCGAAGUUCUUCCCGCCGGACCGCCCUGCUUCUCUCAAGGAAUACAAAAACAGGGGCCUGGGUCACCGUCUAGAUUGCGAUGUCAUUUCUCGGAAAAGCCAACUUACAUUUCGAGCUUGGAACCGCCCCUCCGGCUAUUAUUCUCCCGGCACGUCUACGGAGAAUUCCUGCCUUCCCCCUCGGUUCGCUUCCGAGACGUCGAAACGCUCCUCACGCUCGAGUCACCGCGUUCGAACGUGAACAUUUCCCCUCCCUCAAACCCGGGGCUUCUUGAAGGAGGACGGAAGAAAUAAAAGGGGGUGAGAUUUUCCGGAACCUCGAGGAAGGGCAGCGAGUCGACGCCAAGACAGAGGGGCCUCUUUUCUCUAUUCAGAACUCGGGUCUCUCGGACAAACCGGGGCACGCAACCGCCUCACAACGAUAGCUGUGUGGGUUAUCACCUCCCCGAAGAUGUGAAGAGGCCUCGGUGAGUCUUCCCAUGAAAAUCAAGUCAACAGCCUGUCUCAGCUCCUGGCGAACCAAAGGCGGUCAUCAUUUUUCACUACGGUCUUCACCAUUUUUCUCACGUGUCCUCAGCGUCGCCUGGACUGGUCAGCCAACACAAAGUGCGUCGGCCACAAUGUGAGUUCACCGUGAAAGAUUGAAUUGAGGCUGAUUAGACAUACUUUCCCUGCCGCCAAAGAACGAAAUAAAUAAAUAAUAACUCGGGAAAGGACUGGGAAGUUUUUCACUCCAGCGGCUCCCGCCCCCACCCCUUUAGCCUUCUUCUCUAAUCAAGUGGAAGGAACGUCUCUGGUUCAACCCCAAAAGCGCAGCCCUCAAAAUGGGAAGAUUUUUUUUUUCUCUCCGUCCUUUGUUAUUCUGAAAGACCCUCCCUCCCUUCACCCUUGACUUGCCUCGCCCCUCGCUUCAGCACAGAAACCGGAGAAUGGAAGCACCGCCCCCCAGCUUGUCUUCCAAAGGAGAAUGCAAAGCGCCUCUCCGUCCACAUUUUAAGAGAAGCUCGAGGACGAUGGGCAAAAUCGGACCCUCUCGCUUCCCAGAUUUGCAUUUAAAAGAUCGGGCACUGGCUUCGGUCUCCGUGGCCCAUCGCAGUCUCCGUGGCCAUAGAAACGUUGGGAAAGGUGAAAAAUGCCAUCCGCUGGACUCGCGGUGACUUUAUUAAACCGUCACUAAUCAGGACCCAAAGACACAGGGUUUUAGUGUUUGGGUUAAGCAACUGAAUAAUCUACAGACUCGGCUGACCUCCUCCUACGAGUUUUCCUCUCAGAAAGCCUCGAGGAUGGCACUUCUCUCCUUGUAAGAGUAAUCUUCAUUUUAUUUGGGGAGCACUUAGUCUACGAGUCCAACGCUGUUCUAAGCACUGGGAUUCGACUGAUUAAGAUCCAUUCCCACUACGCGUGAAAACAUUAGGCGAUGAGAUGUGAGCAUUUAUAAACACGGGAAGAAGGCUAGCGUUAAGAGCACAGGACUGAAAUUUGGGAGACUUGGAUUCCACUCGUGCCCCUGCUGCCUGCCUGCUGCGAGACUUUGGGUGAGUCACUUCACAUCUCUGUGCUUCGCUUUCUCUACCUGUUAAAAUGGGGGACAAGAACCAAGAAGCAGCAUGGCAUAGUGGAUAGAGCA